GUGGUGCAUUUUUGUGAAGCUACACAGACCUUACGGUGGUUAUUUAAAUCAUGGGGCUCAAAAAUUAUAUGGUCAGCAUUAACACACAAGGCAUUAUGACAGAGAUGGGAGGCAUCUAAAUUUCUAUCAAUAUCAAUUGUUUUUAGCUGCAACAUUUUUGACAAGCGUGCAACAUUCAUUUUUGUCCUUUUUCCAUUUGGAUAAGCCACAUUUAGCAUCCCUAACAUAUAAUUUCUUUUCCUCUGAAUGGCCCCUGUCCAGAUUUUACACGACCCA
rnacentral:lncRNA from 1 species